rnacentral:rRNA from 1 species
UAAAGUUGUUGCAGUUAAAAAGUUCGUAGUUGAAUUUCGGGGUCAGCAGGUUGGUCGUGCCACUGGUAUGCACUGGCUUCGCUGAUUCCUCCUUUCUGAAGAACUGUAAUGUCAUUAAUUUGGUGUUGCAGGGAAACAGGACUGUUACUUUGAAAAAAUUAGAGUGUUUAAAGCAGGCUAACGCUUGAAUACAUUAGCAUGGAAUAAUGAAAUAGGACGUUCGAUCCUAUUUUGUUGGUUUCUAGGAUUGACGUAAUGAUUAAUAGGG